UACGGGGGGGGCAAGCGUUGUUCGGAAUUACUGGGCGUAAAGGGUGCGUAGGCGGCUUUCUAAGUUGGAUGUGAAAACUAUGGGCUCAACCCAUAGCCUGCAUCCAAAACUGGAGAGCUUGGGUUCUGGAGGGGAAAGCGGAAUUCCUGGUGUAGCGGUGAAAUGCGUAGAUAUCGGGAAGAACACCAGUGGCGAAGGCGGCUAUCUGGCUUGUAACUGACGCUGAGGCGCGAAGGCUAGGGGAGCAAACAGG
rnacentral:rRNA from 1 species